CUGAAACUUAAAGGAAUUGACGGAAGGGCACCACCAGGAGUGGAGCCUGUGGCUUAAUUUGACUCAACACGGGGAACCUCACCCGGCCCGGACACCGUUAGGAUUGACAGAUUGAGAGCUCUUUCUUGAUUCGGUGGGUGGUGGUGCAUGGCCGUUCUUAGUUGGUGGAGCGAUUUGUCUGGUUAAUUCCGAUAACGAACGAGACUCUAGCCUGCUAAAUAGCUCGGGGAUCCUUCGCGAGUCCCCGCUAGCUUCUUAGAGGGACAGGUGGCGCUUAGCCACACGAGAUUGAGCAAUAACAGGUCUGUGAUGCCCUUAGAUGUUCGGGGCCGCACAUGCGCUACAAUGAAUGGAUCAGCGUGCGUCUCGCCUGGUCCGAAAGGAUCGGGAAACCCGUUGAACCCCAUUCGUAAUAGGGAUUGGGGCUUGCAAUUAUUCCCCAUGAACGAGGAAUUCCCAGUAGGCGCGAGUCAUCAGCUCGCGUCGAUUACGUCCCUGCCCUUUGUACACACCGCCCGUCGCUACUACCGAUCGCUCCAGUUAAUGAGCUCUUCGGAUUGGACCCGUGGGCCCGCUUCRCGGCGGGCCGUCGGUGGCCGAGAAGAUGCGCAAAUUGACCGGGGUAGAGGUC
rnacentral:rRNA from 1 species